rnacentral:rRNA from 1 species
UGGUGAUAGCUGGUUGUCCGAAAAAUGAAUUUUAGUUCAACUUUAGACUCAUUCCACCACACUCCUCGGUUCCCAUUAGUCUAAAAGAUAGUCAAUGAGGGCACAGCUUCAUUGACACAGGAAACAACCUUCAAUAGUGACAAACUUGUAUCACCCCCCCCCGUAGGCCUUUAAGCAGCCAACAAAAACAAAAUGCGUUACAGCAAUAAUUACACCCAAUCCCAAAAUACUCACACAAACCUCCUACUAAACAUCGGACAAAUCUAUUCACAUAGAAACACUCAUGUUAAAACUAGUAAUAAGAACAACUCUCUUCGCACAAGCUAACACUAACAGACAGCACCAUCUGAACCCAACUACUACACAAGAAAACCAAACCCACCAAUACUGUUAACCCAACCCAGGAGUGCACAAAGAAGAUUAAAAGUUACAAAAGGAACUCGGCAACCUAGGUCCCAACUGUUUACCAAAAACAUAGCCUUUAGCUCAACAAGUAUUAAAGGUGAUGCCUGCCCAGUGAUAUUUUCAACGGCCGCGGGAUCCUACACCGUGCAAAGGUAGCAUAAUCACUUGUCAUCUAAAUAAUGACUAGUAUGAAUGGCCCAAUGAGGACCUUACUGUCUCUUGUAACCAAUCUAUGAAACUGAUCUUCCAGUUCAAAAGCUGGAAUAAACGCACAAGACGAAAAGACCCUGUGGAACUUUUAAGUGCCAGUCAAUAAAAUGACACAACCACUUUUAGUUGGGGCAACUUUGGAACAAAACAAAACUUCCAAUCACGGGAAACAACUUAAAGCUAGGCUUACACACCAACCUUUAUUACCCGAUAUCGACCCAGUACUACUGAUAAAAGAACCAAGCUACCCCAGGGAUAACAGCGCCAUCCCCUCUUAGAGUCCCAAUCGACGAGCGGGGCUUACGACCUCGAUGUUGGAUCAGGGCCCCCAAACAGUGCAGCAGCUGUUAAAGGUUUGUUUGUUCAACAAUUAAUGCCCUACGUGAUCUGAGUUCA